UAAUUUGAGGGUUUGAUCCUAGCCCAGGAUGAACGCUAGCGGCGUGCUUUAGGUAUGCAAGUGGAUCGGUCCGCAGGACCGAACAGGUCAACUUGUAACCAAUUAACAAAUUGACAUUGUUAACAAAUUAACUAGAUAUUAGUAUUAAAGUUGUGAAGACUUUCAGAUCUCUGGAAUUCCCUGUUUAUCGGGACGGUAAAUCUUUUUAUAAGAGUUGCACUUUUUUAACUAGAGGUUUUCGCAGAGAUUAUUGGGAACUCAAAGAUCAACUUUUGAGAGCGGCUCUUUCUGUUUGUUUGAAUGUUGCAGAGGGCUCUGCUAAAUAUUCAGAUAAGGAUUUCAAAAGAUUCUUGGAAAAUUCUUUGGGAUCAAUAAACGAAUGUUUAGCUUGUUUAGAUAUUGCUUACGAUAAUAAGCUGAUAUCUAUUAAAAAUUAUAAACGUCUUAAGGUCGAGGCUGAAUCAAUUGCUAAGCAGCUUGGAGGAUUAGCAAAGAAGCUUCGAAAUUCCAAUUAAAAUUUCUAAUUCGGUUAGUUGUUAAAAUUGUUAAUUUUGUUGAUGGUUAAUUUGUUGAAUGUUCUAUCCUGCGGACAGACGCGAACGGCUGAGUAACACGUAAGGACUUGCCUCUUGGUGUGGAAUAGCCCAUCGAAAGAUGGGGUAAUACCGCAUGAGGCUCGUACUUCGUACGAGAUUUUCCAUUUUCGAAUUUAACAUUUUCCAUUGAAUUUUCGAUUGAUCAAUUUUUAAAUUGAAAAAUAAAAUGAUAGAUGGCAAAUGAUUAAAUGGACGAUUUCGCACGGAGUGCGAGUUAAAGGACGUAACUGUCCGCCGAGAGAGAGUCUUGCGGCCUAUCAGCUAGUUGGUAGGGUAACGGCCUACCAAGGCUACGACGGGUAGGGGGAGUGAGAGCUCGAACCCCCAGAAUGGCACUGAGAUACGGGCCAUACACCUACGGGUGGCGCAACCGGGAAUCGUGCGCAAUGGACGAAAGUCUGACGCCGCGACGCCGCGUGAAGGAUGAAGGCCUUCGGGUCGUAAACUUCUUUUGCCAAGCGGGAGACUUCUUGGCGAAUAAGCACCGGCUAACUCCGUGCCAGCAGCAGCGGUAAUACGGAGGGUGCUAGCGUUAUCCGGAUUUAUUGGGCGUAAAGAGUUCGUAGGCGCCCCGUCGCAUCUUGUUUUAAAUCCCAGGGCUUAACUCUGGAAAGGGACAAGAGAUGGACGGGGUUGAAAGGUUCCGGGGCUACUGGAACUCACGGUGUAGGAGUGAAAUCCGUUGAUAUCGUGAGGAACACCGAGGGCGAAGGCAGGUAGCUAGGAAACCUUUGACGCUGAGGAACGAAAGCUAGGGGAGCGAAAGGGAUUAGAGACCCCUGUAGUCCUAGCCGUAAACGAUGCUCGCUAGCGGUGUGCCCCGCAAAGGAUAUAUCCUUUGGAACUGUUAACUUUUAACAAAAUUGACAAAUUAACUAAGAGAUUUUUCCUCGUUAAUGGUUAACUGUUAAUUUGUUAAUUGUUCGCAAAAAAAUGGAUACAUUUUUUGUGGGGUGCGUCGCGUAAGCUAACGCGUUAAGCGAGCCGCCUGGGGAGUACGAACGCAAGUUUAAAACUCAAAGGAAUUGACGGGGACCCGCACAACCAGUGGAGCAUGUGGUUUAAUUCGAGACGAACCGAAGGACCUUACCCAGGUUUGACAUGCUAUCGUUUAGUUUUGCAGAAAUGUGAGACGAUCCGCAAUUUGUGGAUGAUAGCACAGGUGUUGCAUGGCUGUCGUCAGCUCGUGCCGUGGGGUGUUCCCUUCAGUGGGGUAACGAGCGCAACCCCUGUCGUAUGUUAAAUUUAUCAUACGAGACUACUCAAUUUAUUUGGGAGGAAGUGGGGACGACGUCAAGUCAGCAUGGCCCUUAUAUCUGGGGCGACACACAUGCUACAAUGAAGCCGACAAAGGGUUGCCAAGUGGUAACACGGAGCUAAUCCCAUCAAACGGCUUCUCAGUGGGGAUUGAGGGCUGAAACUCGCCCUCAUGAACGCGGAAUUGGUAGUAAUCGCAGAUCAGCUAAGCUGCGGUGAAUACGUUCUCGGGUCUUGUACACACCGCCCGUCAAGUCAGCAAAGUUGGGAGCACCCGAAGUCCGAUGGUUAUCGGACGAAGGUGAGACCAGCGAUGAGGAUUAAGUCGUAACAAGGUAUCCGUUCUGGAAGGAGCGGAUGGAUCACCUCCUUU
rnacentral:rRNA from 1 species